CCUACGGGUGGCUGCAGUGGGGAAUAUUGCACAAUGGGGGAAACCCUGAUGCAGCGACGCCGCGUGAGUGAAGAAGUAUUUCGGUAUGUAAAGCUCUAUCAGCAGGGAAGAAAUAAAUUCCUUCGGACUUUGGACGGUACCUGACUAAGAAGCACCGGCUAACUACGUGUCAGCAGCCGCGGUAAUACGUAGGGGGCAAGCGUUAUCCGGAUUUACUGGGUGUAAAGGGAGCGUAUACGGCAGCGCAAGUCUGGAUUGAAAUUCCAUGGCUUAACCAUGGAACUGCUUUGGAAACUGUGCAGCUGGAGUGCAGGAGAGGUAAGCGGAAUUCCUAGUGUAGCGGUGAAAUGCGUAGAUAUUAGGAGGAACACCAGUGGCGAAGGCGGCUUACUGGACUGUAACUGACGUUGAGGCUCGAAAGCGUGGGGAGCAAACAGGAUUAGAUACCCCGGUAGUC
rnacentral:rRNA from 1 species